UACGUAGGGCGCAAGCGUUGUCCGGAUUCACUGGGUGUAAAGGGUGCGCAGGCGGACUGGCAAGUCAGGGGUGAAAUCUCACAGCUCAACUGUGAAACUGCCUUUGAUACUGCUGGUCUUGAGUCAGGGAGAGGUUGAUGGAAUUCCAGGUGUAGCGGUGAAAUGCGUAGAUAUCUGGAAGAACACCGGUGGCGAAGGCGGGUCUCUGGGCCGAUACUGACGCUGAGGAGCGAAAGCGUGGGGAGCGAACAGG
rnacentral:rRNA from 1 species